rfam:Protochlamydia naegleriophila strain KNic genome assembly, chromosome: cPNK
GCGGGUGUAGCUCAGUUGGUAGAGCGUCACCUUCCCAAGGUGAAUGUCGUGAGUUCGAAUCUCAUCACCCGCU